AAAAUGUAUUCCCUUUAACCGUGGGCAAAUUGCUUAACCUCCCUGCUCAGUUUCCCCCAUGAAAACUGGAGGUAAUGAUAAUGAGCAUGCUUGGGUAAAGCAGCUGGUACAUAGUAAGUACCUAUAUGUGUAUGACAUUGGGGAAAUUACUCAAUAAGAAUUUGUUCAAGGUCACACAACUAAUGGUGGCAGAGUCAGGAUGUCUUUCCAGGUUCUGGAGCUCAUAUCUUAACUAAAAAUGUUCCAAUUUAUUACAACAAUUAGAUUGUAGUCUUUCUAAUACAUUUAGCUAAGAAUUAGUAUGUAUUUUAUUGGGUUUCACACAACUCUUUAAAAUAGUAUUAAUUGUUCUCACUACCCAUUGUUGAUUGAAUCUUUACGGCCUAGAACCAGAUACUUGAUACACAAUGAAGACCUGGAAGUGUCCAGAAUAGAAAUGUCUGGAGCUCUGCUUGGUGGACAUGAGCAGACAAUUACUGACUCGUAGCCCCACAAGGGACUUGAUCUUAUGAGGAAAGAUACAUGGUAGGGAUCCGACAAUUGCCAAUGAACUAUUUGCUUCACAGAAGAAAAGAAGCUACAAAACUAAGAAAAAUAGCCUUCCUCUCUCUGCUUUCACACCUCAUUUUGACUAUUUACACAAAGAGAAAUGGAUUUGUUUCUGGUCAUUUACUCCCACUUUAAAGAAUGGCCUUCUGUCUACAUGGAAAAGUAUUGGAAACCUUGUUUACCUGGAAUUAUUUUGACUCUGGACUACUAUUCAAAGACUUCUUGAAAACAACAUAAAGUAAUAGCUUUUGUGCUGGGCCACCUGGAAGCCUUGACACUGGAAGAGCCCUGUGGAUGCCGUAGCAACUGCAAGCUUUGUAGUCAUAGUAACAGCCUUGUGCUCUAGAGGCAAAACCAAUGAGCUUUAAGCAUCACUACAUUCUAGCUAAGCUUCUCUGACCUUAUCAGGGAGCAACAAGAUCUGUCUGUUCUUCCAAGUGCACGUGCCCCUCAGCAGGAAGGGAAAGCUGUGCAUAAUGUACCUGAUUUAAAUGUCAUGUUUGGAUUAUUCAAGCACAUG
rnacentral:lncRNA from 1 species